AGGUCUGAAAAGAUGGGAGAGAAGGCAAUUUAUCAUCUUGUAUGACAUCACUUCAAAGGAGGGCUAAUAUUUCCCAUUAUCCAUCCUAGCUCUCAAGACAAGACUUCUAUCCAUUGAGUCACCAAGCACACGGCCAAAUAUUUUUCCCUGGAGUCACCAACCUUAGAUCCCAGGGGAAUCAAUCUCCCAAAGUGAGCACAUGACUAGAUGAGGAAGUUCAUGCACUGAAGGCUGGGAGAGUACCUUGGAACAUCUCUGGAGGGCAAGGUAUAUCCCAAUUCCACCCUGAGAUGAGGCCAGUACAGCCCCAGAGGUCCUUGGCGUGGAGAGCCAGGCCACAGAGAGGACACAACGGCAGGGGACUCAUGUGACUGAGAGCUGCCCACAAGUCCCCUGAGGGCCAGCUGUGCAGUCAGCACCUGCGCACAGCGAGCAAGAGCCUUGUGCCUCCCUGGGGGAGACUCUGCCACCAU
rnacentral:lncRNA from 1 species